rnacentral:lncRNA from 1 species
CUUGUCUACAAAGCUUGUCCUAACCUCUUGAUGUGCAUGCACGCUGAGUUGUUUUAGUCGUGUCUGACUCUUUGUGACACCAUGGACUGUAGCCCACCAGGCUCCUCUGUCCAUGGAAUUCUCUAGAGAAUUCCAGGAAUAGUGACAUGAGUUGCCAUUCCCUCCUCCAGGAGAUCUUCCUGACCCAGGGAUCAAACCCACGUCUCUUGCCUGCAGGCGGAUUCUUUACUGCUGAGCCACCAGGGAAGCUCCAACCUUUCAAUUCCAUGGGGCAUUGUCAUGGUGCAAAGGGGUUUAACUGAAGAGGAUGAUGGUUGCCUGGCAUAUACAUUCCCCACCCGCUGUGUUCAAAUAGGAAGAUCUAAAGAGCCUCUUGAGGAAAGUGAAAGAGGAGAGUGAAAAAGUUGGCUUAAAGAUCA